CUGCAGCCCGAGUGGUGAUCGAUUUUAUUGAGCCUAAAGCGUCCGUAGCCGGACUAGUAAACCCUUGGGUAAAUUGGGCAGCUUAACUGUCCGAAUUCCGAGGGGACUGCUAGUCUUGGGACCGGGAGAGGUCAGAGGUACUCCAGGGGUAGGGGCUAAAUCCUGUAAUCCUUGGGGGACCACCAGUGGCGAAGGCGUCUGACUAGAACGGAUCCGACGGUAAGGGACGAAACCCUGGGGCGCAAACCGGAUUAGAGACCCGCGUAGUCC
rnacentral:rRNA from 1 species